GGUAACCUCUGAAACAACCCACAAGGUCUCAUAUGCUCGGCUUUCACUUGCUGAUAACAUAGGCAGCAAGCCAUAAAAUCUGUUAUAUCUCACCUCAUACCACCCCACCAGUAAUGCUGCCUCAAAUCACGAUACAUCUUAGUCACACCUGGAUGGAUAGAAUAUCUGGAACAAUGAGCCUCCUCCUAGAUCAGCCUAAUCAAAUCACCCACUCUCGGCAUACAAACUCGGC
rnacentral:lncRNA from 1 species